rnacentral:rRNA from 1 species
UACAGAGGGUGCGAGCGUUGUUCGGAAUCAUUGGGCGUAAAGCGCUUGUAGGCGGCCUGUCAAGUCGCGUGUGAAAUCCCUUGGCUUAACCAAGGAAGUGCGCGCGAAACUGGCGGGCUUGAGUGCCGGAGAGGGUCGCGGAAUUCCCGGUGUAGAGGUGAAAUUCGUAGAUAUCGGGAGGAACACCAGUGGCGAAGGCGGCGACCUGGGACCGGACACUGACGCUGAGACGCGAAAGCGUGGGAGCAAACAGG